rnacentral:tRNA from 2 species
GCACUAGUGGCGGAACGGCAGACGCAACGGACUCAAAAUCCGUCGAGGGUGACCUCGUGAGGGUUCAAAUCCCUCCUGGUGCA